GACGGAGGAUGCAAGUGUUAUCCGGAAUCACUGGGCGUAAAGCGUCUGUAGGUGGUCCAAUAAGUCAACUGUUAAAUCUUGAGGCUUAACUUCAAAAUCGCAGUCGAAACUAUUAGACUUGAGUAUAGUAGGGGUAAAGGGAAUUUCCAGUGGAGCGGUGAAAUGCGUAGAGAUUGGAAGGAACACCGAUGGCGAAGGCACUUUACUGGGCUAUUACUGACACUGAGAGACGAAAGCUAGGGUAGCAAAUGGG
rnacentral:rRNA from 1 species